rnacentral:sRNA from 1 species
CAGUGGCUGAGAAACCCUGGCCCCCAGCAUGAGAAGCGGACUCUGUUUGGUGACAUGGUGUGCUUCUUGUUUAUAACUCCCCUGGCCACCAUCUCGGGCUGGCUGUGCCUGCGGGGCGCCGUGGACCACCUGCACUUUAGUAGUCGGCUGGAAGCCGUUGGACUGAUUGCACUCACUGUCGCACUCUUCACUAUUUACCUCUUUUGGACACUAGUGUCAUUUAGGUACCACUGUCGAUUGUACAACGAGUGGCGUCGGACCAAUCAGAGGGUGAUUCUCCUCAUUCCAAAGUCUGUCAAUGUACCUUCUAACCAGCAGUCCUUGCUGGGCCUCCAUUCGGUCAAGAGGAACUCAAAGGAGACAGUUGUUUGAUGUUUGUAUGGUUGGUUGGUUGAUUCACUGUUUGGGGUUUGGAAGUGUCUGCACUGGGGUCAUGCACUGAGCCACCCCCAAGCCCUUCCUUAAGCCUGUGGGUCUAAGAACAUCCAGAGCGCGUUAGCACAUCACCCCAAGCAACAACCUCCGCCAGAAGAAAGCAAAUGCUGUUUUACUUCAAAUCGUGGAUGCUGCAAUCAUAUGAUAUUUGCUAAGCUGCCAAACAUGUUUAUUUAGCAGAUACUGUAUGGAAUUUUCUGAACACCUCUUUAACGUAUGAGGAAGGUUGUCCUGCUACGGAUGCAAUUCAAUUCUUCCUUUUUUAUUACUAUUUCAAACACACAUAUAUAUAUUAAACUUAGAUGGUAAUCAAAAUCAAAAAGCCAACGUAAAAACUGGUUUCUUGGUUUGGUUGGGUCUUAUUUGA